AUUCGUUGAAUUUUGAAAAUUUUCGAUGAGAAUGGAAACGCAGAUGGAGGAGGGUUCCCAUUAGAGAAGCAGGAUAAGCGGCCCCGAAAACGACUUCGUUCAACAUGGGACAUGUCUCCUGUCCCUCCUCCUGAUCAUUCCAAGCCCCAAGGUCUUAUUUUAUAUAGGAAUUUUCACAGUUCUCUUGCAUUUACAUAAAAGUGCAAUUUCUAUUAAGUUAGGGCUUUUAAUUGGAUGUUUGAUAUAUUGCACUAUUAACUUGUUAGUGAAAUUUGUUUACUUGCUAGUUGCUACGUUGGACUUAUUCUGGAUAACAUGUCCCCCUCAUCUGAAUUUCUUUACUUGUUUUCAGUUCAAGGUACUUGGUUCUCAGAUACUUUGUGUCUCUUCUGCUGUUUUCAUUAGGUUUUUUUUUUUUAACGAUGAAGAAGUUGUAUACUGGCUUGAUUUUGUUUUCCCAUGGGCCAUAUAAAUAUAUUUGGGGGAGGAAUAACAUGUUGAACUAUUUGAUAUCUAUGUUUUGUUUGAUUUGUGUACAUUUAUGAGAAAUUUUGAACAUUUUUUGUACCAAUUAAUGCAAGAACACUCAUCAUGUAGCAUAAUUGACUGAAGUGUUGAGAUAUUGAAGGGAUGGAAGUGAAGCUAAUAAGAUAAAAAUGUUUGUUGUAGUUUCACACUGUGAUCGUAGUGAUUUCCCUCAUAUGGAAUAACUCUAUGGUUAUUGUGCAGUCGCGUGAAGACUGAAUAUUGUUUCUUCUGCAGAUCCUUCCAACAAUAUAUCAGGGGAAAGAAAUUAACUCCUCGUUGUAUGUGAACUUGAAAUACUUAAGGGUGUUCUUAGGGAGUGCCUCAAGUGGUAUUCCGAUUGUUUCAUAUGUAGGAAUUCCUUUAGAGCAACCUCAUUGAAUUCCUUUUUUUCCCGCUUUCAUCAUUUUUGGGGGUGAAAAUGCUUACUUUUUGAUGCUAACUCUUAAGUUAAUUUGUAAUGCUUAUGUACAAGAGGGAACGACCUGAAACAAGCAAGACCGGUACCUGUCAAUAUUGAAGAACAAAGUCUGCCAUCCAAAAUUUUCAGUUUGGAAAUCGGUUUUUCAUUACCUGUCAGUAAUGAGAACAUCUCCUUUUACUUUAAGAAACAUCCUAUAUAAAAAUCAAUAGAGAGCAGGUUAAGGCACACGUCCUUGUUUUCGUUCAACAAUUGUACAGAUAACUGGGUUCAGGAUAUAUGUUAGAAUUCACGUAAGGUUGUUUUUAUGCUGUCCUAUCUGUGCACAAUACACAUUUUUAUGUCUCUGUGGAUUUAAUGCUCAUUUGUUUGAUUAUCUUAUGCAUAUAGUGCUUUUAUAUGACUAAAGGUAUUAUUUGUUUUUACCUCCUUGGGCUCUAUUUAGUUCCUUUUUUUCCUUAAUUGACAGAUAGAAUACUCAGCAAAAUGUUGCAGGGGCUUUUGGGAAAGUCCUUGAAUGUUUGGCCAAUGAAAAGAAAGAGAUUAUUGCAAUUAUAUGAAAGUACGGGAAGUUGCCAUGAUUGAGAUUAGUGUUUUAGAGAAGCUUACAAGGCAUGACGCUUGUGGGACACGGUAGGUCUCUGCUUUCAGUUUGGCUUAAUUUGUAAGCUAGAAGAAAAACUUGAAGUUGUUUUGGUAUAAGUGGUUUCAUUCUUUGCAGUUGUGUGCAAAUACCGAACUGGUUUGACUAUCGUAAUCAUAUUUGUAUCAUAAGUAUUUAAUAUAAUUCAUGGUUUCCUUAAAUUUUUAAGGGCUUUGGUGUUACCUCUUGCUCAAUUAUUGUGCAAGCUAAAAAGUUGCGGACUGAUUUAAAUGGUCUUUACAGGUUUUUGAGAAGCUUGGUCCAAGCUUAUACGAUUUUUUACACAAAAACAGCUAUCUUUCAUUUCCCAUUGAUCUUGUUCGGGAGUUUGACAGACAAUUUUUCGAAUCUGUGGCAUGUGUGUGGACAUAUCUUUGCACAUCUAUAUUGCUUUUAUCAAUUCUUGGAUUUAUUAAAAAUGAUAUAUAUUAGGCAUCAGUUGGCGUUUAGGACGGUUUUUAAUACUUACCUUGUAAUUCACAGACUGUAAUCUGUUUGUUUCACUUAUUAUUGUUGCUUUUAUUUGCAGUUAUGCAUGAUCUGCAUCUGAUUCACACUGAUCUGAAACCAGAAAAUAUUCUUCUUGUUUUCACAGACUAUAUUAAAGUGUUAGAUUAUAAGGUGUUCCCAUCUAGCACAUUUCUCUUAUUUAUCAUUUUUUUACAUGAUUUUACUCAGUCCACAUAGAGUAAUUCCUUUUUUUCUCAUGAUUGGGUUAUGUGUAUCUGAUGGCUUGAAGUUAGGAUUCAUGCUAGGCUUAGGUUGACUUUUUUUUUUUUCUUUUUUUUGGUUAUAUUCUUUUGGUGAAUUUUUUUUUUAUCUGAAAUCAUUUAAAUUUGUUCAACUUUAAUUCGUUCAUUAUAAAAGUUCAAUAAAUGACCCUGAUAAUUAAUUGUGCUAAUAUGUGCCAUUUUUCCCUUUAUACAUGUUUGUAGUUUAUUUUUACCAAUUCCAUUUCUUAUAUUAAAUAGUGUAAUGCAGUUUUCUCAUGAUUAGGAGUAGUUAAUGUGGAUCUGUCUGCUAGAAGUUAGGAUUUAUGCUGAGCUUCGAUCGAUUUUUCUUAUCUUCUUCUUAGUUGCUUUUAGUUAUAUUGUUUUGGUCAAUUUUUUAUCUGACAUCAUUUCUAUUUGUUCAACUUUAAUAUGAUAAUUUGUUCAUUAUAAUAUUCAAUGAAUGACUAUAAGAAUUAAUAAUGCAUAUAGGUUCUCUUUUUGUCUUCCUACGUAUUUGUUAAUUAACAUUCACCGUCUUAAUUUGUAAUGUUAUCAGAUUACUUCUCCAACUGUAUUUUAAUAUGCUGAAAUUGAUAACAACAGCAGUUUUUGUACUUCUGAAUUUGAGAAACUAAUUAUGAGUUUUGAAGCCUGAUGAUUUUAUUCCUUCUUUUUGUCUGGAAUGAAGUUCCUAUCCAGAUCUGCAAAAAAUGGUUCCUAUUUCAAAAAUUUACCAAAAUCAAGUGCUAUAAAGCUUAUCGAUAUUGGCAGUACUACAUUUGAAAGCCAGGGUCAUAGCUAUGUGGUGUCUACACGUCAUUAUCGUGCUCCGGAGGUUAUUUUGGGUAAUUAGUGGUUCUUGUAUUUUUUUGGUUGCAUUUUUAAUUAUUUUCAGGUGGCUCAAUGAGUUAUUGCUGAUGCUGUUUUCUGUAGGUCUUGGAUGGAACUAUCUUUGUGAUAUGUGGAGUAUUGGUUCCAUGCUUGUUGAAUUGUGCUCUGUAAGUAAGAAAGCAACAUAUAGUUUUCACUACCUUUUAAAAUUGAACAUUAUUUGUUUUAGUUUAUAUUUUGACAUUGUUAUGUUAAUGUAUAUGUGCAAUUGUGGCUCGUCCAUCUACUUAGGCAUCUUAUGCAGUUGAUUGUAUUACUAAGAAGGAGCUAUUUGCAUGUUGGGUUACCUGUCAUAUCUAGAUAUUCUUUGUUUUAGUUUAUAUUUUGGCAUUGUUAUGUUAAUGUAUAUGUGCAAUUGUGGCUCGUCCAUCUACUUAGGCAUCUUAUGCAGUUGAUUGUAUUACUAAGAAGGAGCUAUUUGCAUGUUGGGUUACCUGUCAUAUCUAGAUAUUCUUACUAGCAUUCUUUAAAUU
rnacentral:lncRNA from 1 species